AUUGAACGCUGGCGGCAUGCUUUACACAUGCAAGUCGAACGGCAGCACGGGGGGGUAACCCUCUGGUGGCGAGUGGCGAACGGGUGAGUAAUGCAUCGGAACGCGUCCUGUAAUGGGGGAUAACCUGGCGAAAGUCAGGCUAAUACCGCAUACGUCCUGAGGGAGAAAGCGGGGGAUUGGCAACGACCUCGUGUUAUAGGAGCGGCCGAUGUCGGAUUAGCUAGUUGGUGGGGUAAAGGCCUACCAAGGCGACGAUCCGUAGCGGGUCUGAGAGGACGGCCCGCCACACUGGGACUGAGACACGGCCCAGACUCCUACGGGAGGCAGCAGUGGGGAAUAUUGGACAAUGGGGGAAACCCUGAUCCAGCAAUGCCGCGUGUGUGAAGAAGGCCUGCGGGUUGUAAAGCACUUUUGGCAGGGAAGAAAAGCACUGGCCGAAUACGCCAGUGUGUUGACGUAACCUGCAGAAGAAGCACCGGCUAACUCUGUGCCAGCAGCCGCGGUAAUACAGAGGGUGCAAGCGUUAAUCGGAAUUACUGGGCGUAAAGGGCGCGUAGGCGGUUAGGUAAGUCGGAUGUGAAAUCCCCGGGCUCAACCUGGGAAUUGCAUUCGAUACUGCCUAGCUAGAGUGUGGAAGAGGGAAGCGGAAUUUCCGGUGUAGCGGUGAAAUGCGUAGAUAUCGGAAGGAACACCAGUGGCGAAGGCGGCUUCCUGGUCCAACACUGACGCUGAGGCGCGAAAGCGUGGGGAGCAAACAGGAUUAGAUACCCUGGUAGUCCACGCUGUAAACGAUGAGAACUAGAUGUUGGGAGGUAUAACCUCUCAGUGUCGCAGCUAACGCAUUAAGUAUCCCGCCUGGGGAGUACGGCCGCAAGGUUGAAACUCAAAUGAAUUGACGGGGACCCGCACAAGCGGUGGAGCAUGUGGAUUAAUUCGAUACUAACCGAAGAACCUUACCCAGGUUUGACAUCGAUGGUAAGCCCGAGAGAUCGGGCCCUCUCUCACAAGGAGACCUGAAGACAGAUGUUGCAUGGCUGUCGUCAGCUCGUGCCGUGAGGUGUACGGUUAAGUCCGCCAACGAGCGCAACCCUCGUCCUAUGUUGCCAGCGAGUAAUGUCGGGAACUCAUAGGAGACCGCCGGUGUAAGCCGGAGGAAGGUGGGGAUGAUGUCAAGUCAGCAUGGCUCUUACGCCUGGGGCUUCACACAUGCUACAAUGGGCGCAACAAAGGGCACCGAAGCCGUGAGGUGGAGGCAAUCCCAAAAAUACGCCCCCAGUUCAGAUUGCAGUCUGCAACUCGACUGCAUGAAGGCGGAAUCGCUAGUAAACGCAGGUCAGCUAUACUGCGUUGAAUACGUUCCCGGGUCUUGUACACACCGCCCGUCAAGUCACCUGAAUUGUCUUCACCCGAAGUCCGUGGCCUAACCGUAAGGAGGGAGCGGCCGAAGGUGAGGGGAGUAAGGGGGACUA
rnacentral:rRNA from 1 species